rnacentral:rRNA from 1 species
GUGGGGAAUAUUGGGCAAUGGGCGAAAGCCUGACCCAGCAACGCCGCGUGAGGGAAGAAGGCCUUCGGGUUGUAAACCUCUGUCCUUGGUGACGAAAAAAAUGACGGUAGCCAAGGAGGAAGCCCCGGCUAACUACGUGCCAGCAGCCGCGGUAAUACGUAGGGGGCGAGCGUUGUCCGGAAUUACUGGGCGUAAAGGGUGCGUAGGUGGCCUUUUAAGUUGGAUGUGAAAUACCCGGGCUUAACUUGGGGGGUGCAUCUAAUACUGGAGGGCUAGAGUGCAGGAGAGGGAAGCGGAAUUCCUAGUGUAGCGGUGAAAUGCGUAGAUAUUAGGAGGAACACCAGUGGCGAAGGCGGCCUGCUGGACAUUAACUGACGCUGAUGCGCGAAAGCGUGGGGAGCAAACAGGAUUAGAAACCCGGGUAGUCC